UACGUAGGGAGCAAGCGUUGUUCGGAUUUAUUGGGCGUAAAGGGUGCGUAGGCGGCGGAGUAAGUUGGGUGUGAAAUCCCGGGGCUCAACCUCGGAAUUGCAUUCAAUACUACUGAGCUAGAGUACGGUAGAGGGUAGUGGAAUUUCCUGUGUAGCGGUGAAAUGCGUAGAUACAGGAAGGAACACCAGUGGCGAAGGCGACUACCUGAACUGAUACUGACACUGAGGUGCGAAAGCGUGGGGAGCAAACAGG
rnacentral:rRNA from 1 species